GAUGAAGAACGCAGCGAAAUGCGAUAAGUAAUGCGAAUUGCAGAAUUCAGUGAGUCAUCGAAUCUUUGAACGCACAUUGCGCCCUGUGGUAUUCCGCAGGGCAUGCCUGUCCGAGCGUCAUUUCUCCCCUCGAGCGCAGCUUUCCCCCCCGGGGGAGGGCCGCGCCCGGUGUUGGGGCGCUACGGAGGAGCCCAGCGCUCCCCCGUAGGCCCCGAAAUGUAGUGGCGGUCCCGCCGCGGCGCCCCCUGCGUAGUAGUUUUACAACUCGCAUCGGGUCCCGGCGGAGGCCAGCCGUCAAACCCCCCAACUUCAAUAGUUUGACCUCGGAUCAGGUAGGGUUACCCGCUGAACUUAAGCAUAUCAAUAAGCGGAGGA
rnacentral:misc_RNA from 1 species